AAUAUGCUUGAUAUUCCUGCUUUUCCUGACUCCGAAACCAGUAAAGAUGUUCAAAUUCUGAUCAGAUUCAUGUUCUUUAGAAGAUUGGUAGCAAAAAUUGACUGAAUUAAACUUCUGCGACUGUGCUAAGCUCUGAAUUGCAAGAUAUUCAUGUCUUAUUUUGAAAACUAUCUCUGUAUAUGGGGUAUGGAUCUCUUUGUUUAUAGCUGCAUCAUAAAUAAAUUUGGAUGAGGCGUCUACGACUCAGGAAAAAUUGGCAAAACUAUCACCCGAUGACAUGAAAGUUAUCAGUAAUAUGCAACUGCUGGCGGGAUCAUCAACAAAGAAGGCAUCUGCUGCUGCUGGUGCUUUCUCACUGAAGUUCAGUAACCAGAAGGAGCUCAUUGAAAGUCUUAAUAAGGGAGAACUGCCAAAGAGUGAAUAUGCAUG